rnacentral:lncRNA from 1 species
GUUUGAAUUCUGACAAAACAAUAAACAACCCUUAUUAUGGGUUCUUAUAAAUUUUACUACAAUUUUUCUCCCUUUCUCUUCUAGUGAUUUAGCGCGAGCCGGCAAGACAUAGAAGAGCCAUGAGUGACUAAGGAUCCAUUUGUGCUGAUUGAGGAGUUGCACAAACAGCCACAUUUCAGCACCGAGGGACAAAUGCCACUAUUACUUACAAAGUUAGGAGGAGAAGAGUGGGAAGCUUUUCCUAUCUGAAGGCAGCAAGUUAUAUCCUCAGCCUCAGACCCAGCCAAGCAAGAACCAUAAACAGCAAAGAUGGAGCAAAGCCAAGCAGAUGCCAAUGGCUCCGGGUUCCUGGCAAUCUCUGCCUGCUGUUUGUUUCCUGUCCAGAUGUCAUAGCCAUUGCUAAAUAAACUCCAGAACUUGUCAGUUCUCCACAACACUCAGAGGGGCUCACUUGAGAAGGACAUAGUCUGAAGAGGGCACAUGAUGAGCU